GUUCUCAUGAUAGUGAAUGGGUCUCACAAGAUCUGAUGGAUUUAAAGACGGGAGUUUCUCUGCACAAGCUCUCUCUUUUUGCCUGCUGCCGUCCACAUAAGAUGUGACUUGCUCCUCCUUGACUUUUGCCUUCCACCAUGAUUGUGAGGCCUCCCCAGCCACAUGGAACUGUUGGAGUGCAGUGGCACAAUCUCGGCUCACUGCAGUCUCUGCCUCCCGAGUAGGGAAUCAAGGGAUUCUCCUGCCUCAGCCUCCAGAGUGGCUGUGAUUACAGGAACCUGCCACCACGCCCAGCUAAUUUUUGUAUUUUUAGUAGAGAUGGGGUUUUGCCAUAUUUGCCAGGCUGGUCUCGACCUCCUAACCUUAGCCUCAGCCUCCCAAAGUGCUGGGAUUACAGGCAUGAGCCACCACGCCUGGCCAAAAUUAAAAUUUUUGUGCUUCGAAGGACACCAUCAAAAAUGUGAAAAGACAACCAACAUGCACUUUUUACUGAGUCACUGCCAUGAAUGAUGUCCCUGCCAACCUGAAUGCAGAAGUCCCCGCCACUGGUGCCUGGCUUAGAAUCCGUUGGAUUGGUCUCCCAAGCAUCACUCGGCCUGUCUCCACUACACUCAGUCCCUCCUCCAUGGCCAUGAGUUCAUGUACUUCACCAGCCCAGGGAGGAAUGGACAGUCUUUCAGGUCAGGGUAGAGCUGCUUCAGGUGUUCCUCAGAGGCCCAAAGGUGGAAUCCCUUCAGCUCAAAGUGCCUCAUGACAUUGCCCAGCAGGCCCCACCGCACACCGUGUGGCUUCAUGGAGAUAAAGGUGCGCUCGAGGUUGGACAUGGUCUGGGAAGCUGAUGGGGCAGGCAGUGGCUGCACUGCAGGAGCUGAGAGCUGCAGUGACCUGCACCCAGAUUUCCUAUCAUGAGCAUUAGAACACAUAUCUCUCCUGCUUCAGCCUUGCCAGUAAGAACAAGAACUCUCCUCUGCAGAUAGCCCCUGCCUCACUCCUUCCCAUUCUUGUGCUUCCUUCUUCAUAUACCAGUGAUGAAUUUCCCAUGACUUGGGGAGAAAAAUCCAACUGGAAGUGGAAGGAGAUAGUAGUGGUGGUGGUGGAGGGGGUGGUGCGGGGUAGAGGAAGAGUUAGUGAUGAAUCAUGAAUACUUAGGUAAUAUAAUGGGACAGGCUUGGGCAGGAAGAAACACUGGGGCAGGACAGUUCAUGUGAAGAAAAAAAAUGUUGUUCUGGGAGAUGCAGGUCAGAGCAGGGCCGUUAAGUCAAAACCACCGGCACUGUAGAGAUGAAUAUUGUAACCAGCUUUUAUUUUAAUUCAGGCUGUCCCCACAUCCAACCCCCCUUUUUUAAUUUGCAAGAAUCCUCCACCUUGUGUGGUGUCCGUGGGAUGUGGUACCUCAACUCUUACCAAAGAAUAUCAGGAUGAAGUCUUCCUCCUUCACGCCCAUCAUGGAGGUGGGAGCACAUGACCCAAGCUGGUUAAUCCAAUGCCCAGGGACCAGAGUUGAAGGGCAGUUAGCAUCUUUCACCGUGUACCACAUGGUUAUGGUACCCAGCGAUAGAAGAGGCAUUCAGUACUGGCACGUCCUCUGGAAGUGGAGAGCUGAUUUUGGAUAGCCCUGGUCAGUUGCUGUUACUUGCAUCAAACAGUCCUGAUUACAUCAUGACCUCUCUUUGAUCCAGAAGCUGUAAAUUUCUACAUGCCUUCAGGCAAACUCAGCUCUGUCUUCAAAUAAAAUAGAGGCAAAUCAGAUAGCUUUUUUCCCCUUAAAGACAAAUUCCUUCCAAGGAUUAUCAAUAUAUUUAUUAAUCUCUUCUCUUUAUGGGCAGAAAAAAAGUCCCCAUGAAUUUAAAAUGUGAAAAUAUAUUUAUUGACUUAAAGAUAUAAUAAUUUUAGGGAAGCAAAAUAGUUGUGUUCAAUUAUUUUCACAGCAAGAUGCCUGUAAAAUGUAUAUAAUUGGAUUGAUUGGCACUGUUAAUGACUCUUCAGAUAUGUACAAAUCUAGUCAUACGCUCUAAAAUUUGCAGAGACAAAUCAAUUUAAUAUGCUUUAUUCACUUUCUAAGUUUAACAUUGGGAUAUAUUGUGAUUGAAUAAAACAUUCAGAUGUGCUCUAAUUUACAUUUUGCCCACAAAAUAAUUCCCAAUUCUGCUUCAUUCAUACCAUUGUUUAGUAUUGUGGUUGUGUUCAUCAUUUCUUAGCAAGGAGAACAUAAGUUUCAUCUAUUACCAGCUGAAUGAUUUGACUCAAAAGGCAAUUAAAAAUCACACUCUUGGGAGGCCAAGGCAGGUAGAUCAUGAGGUCAGGAGAUCGAGACCAUCCUGGCUAACACAGUGAAACCCCAUCUCUACUACUGAAACUACACACACACACACACACACACACACACACACACACACACACACACACAGAGAAUUAGCCGGGCAUGGUGGCAUGUGCCUGUAUUCCCAGCUAUUCGGGAGACUGAGGCAGGAAAAUUGCUUGAACCCCGGAGGCGGAGGUUGCAGCAAGCCAAGAUCACGCCACUGCACUCCAGCCUGGGCGACAGAGCGAGACUCCAUCUCAAAAAAAAAAAAAAAAUCACAUUCAACCUAGACAGUGUUACCAGUUGAGCCACAGGUCAAGCCCAGGUUUAAUGUAAAAGAGGACCACACUGGGAGUAGGCAUGAAAACUGAGAGUCAUGGUCCAUUGGACACCAUCUUUGAAUGACUCACUUGGCCGCCUGCUUUUUAUUUUCUCUAUAAAAUGGAUUAACUAUUGCCUGACUGUCAAUCACUAUCACUUUCAAGAUAUCUUCACUUAAUAACAGGUUGUUAUGAGGAUUAAAUAAAGCUUGGGAAAAUUCUAGUGACUGCUCCCUAUGGAUGAACAGAGAUAGACUUAAACUUGAAAUGAUACAAAUCUAGUGAGCAUAGAAAAAUUCUGGAUCCGAAGACUUCAGUGGGUUAAAAGGAUGGACUUACUUUAGGAACAUGCAAUUCAAUAGAGGUAGAAGAAAACUCCAACAGUUGGAUCUAUAAAUACUAAUGAAAAAAUUGAUGAGUAGAUGAAUGACUUAAGAGACCAAUGUGGAAAAGAAUGAAAGGUUUAAGUAGAUAAUAAAACAGUGAGAUAUGAAGAACUAAAAAUACUUCAUCCAGAUUUUUUUAAAUGCUUCAGUGGGACAUAGUAGUUUUCUUCAAAUAUGUGAAGACUUUCAUAAGCAGACAUGGUAGACUUGCUCUUGAAAGGCGUAUCAGCGGGUUAGAGGUGAAAGUCUGCAAGAACAAUUCUGGCUACUCAAGAGAUUUUCCAACUUGGCAAGAAUGGAAAGAACCUUGGGACAUAGUCUUGAGCUGCCCAUCACUCUCAGGGCUUAAACGAGAUUGAAUAUUCAUUGCUGAAAAUGUCAAAAAAGGGAUUCAAAGAUCAGUCAGCUGGCCAAGCAAGGUGAUCUUUAGAGUGCCCUUCCAAACCUGAGAUUCUAGAUUUCCAAGCCUUGACUCUUAACAUCUGUCAUGGAACCAUUAUAGCACCAUCUGCCCAAUUUCCCCGCUGAUGAUUUCACCUGACUAUGUAAUCCUGGAAGAGGGGUGAUGCCCAUUAACUUGUAGUUGGUUUAUAUAAGCUAGAGCAAGCUGUGUGGUUUGAAUCAUGUAUGUGUCCAUAGGAAUCUAAAAUAAUUGGCCAACUGUAAGCAGUGUUGUUGAAUUUCAUAUUUGGUGAAUAUGUAAAAUGCUUUGAAUUACAUUGAAACUUCCUAAGUUAACUUUAAUAUGUUCAUGGACAUUCAUUAUUUUCUCGUAUUUCCACAAGUUAGAGAUAGCUUUCCAAUGGACAAAUCUUUGCCUUUUAUCUUAAGGAGCUGAGGUGAUUCAAGCAAGCCAUUUGGAAGUUCAUAAUUUUGUGGUUUUUUCCUUGUAAAAUUGUCUUCACGAAGGAAUUAAGUAAGCAAUAUUUGUUUUCAUUGAGAAUAUAAUUUUAUUUACAACUGAUCUAUUGUAGAAUUUGGGUUCAACCUAGGAAAUUAUUUUCCUCACAUAAGAAAAAAUACAUCCAGUUUCUUGCUAGAAAAAUAAUCACUACUUGUUUUGUACAUUUAAAAUCAUGAAUUUCUAUUCUACUGGUUGUCAAAAUAAAGUUAAUUUAACUUAUUUUUUCCUCUGCCCUUGGCCCUUUUGGAGGGAGACUGGUCAUUCCACAGUCGUUCAUUCAAGCUUUGGCCACUAGGUGGAGUACUAGUUAAACAUUGGCUGGCCUGCUUGCAAUCUCACCUUGCACUUGAAAAACGCCAAUUUUUUAGUCUUGUUAUCAAAAGACCAAUUUCAUUCACUUUAAAAUAAUUGUAUUUAUUCUAGCAUUUGUCUCACAUGGAAGCAUAUAUAUUUUUUAUCUGGUAAAUAAUUUUUUAUGUUGUCCUGUAAGAAAAUAAGCCACUUAAUAAAAUGAGUUCCUCAUCAAGGGAGCUGUGCAAGCGGAGGCCAGACAACCACUUGGCAGACAAGUUAGAAACAGAAUGACGUUUUCACUGUAAAUAUUUUCGUGUGUAGUAUUUUCUGAAAACAAGGACAUUCUCUUACAUAACCAGAGUGCGAUGACCAAUACCGUUAUCUUACCCAGGGGGUAGCAAGUUUUGGCCUGAAACUCAGUCAAAUCCAGCCCACCAUCUAUUUUUGCAGGGCGCCCUAGGUAAGAAUGCUUUUAGAUAGUUAAGCUCUUUCUUUCCUUCCUUCUUUCCUUUCUUUCUUUCUUUCCUUUUUUUCUUUUCUUUUUCUUUCUCUCUUUCUCUUUCUUUUCUCUCUCCUUCCUUCCUUCUUUCUUUUCUUUCUUCUUGCUCUGUUGCCCAGACUGCAGUGCAGUGGCACGAUGUCGGCUCACUGCAACCUCCGCCUCCUGGGUUCAAACGAUUCUCAUGCCUCAGCCUCCUGAGUAGCUGAGAUUACAGGCGUGUGACACCAUGCCCAGCUAAUUUUUGUAGAGAUGGGGUUUCAUCACGUUGGCCAGGCUGGUCUCGAACUCCUGACCUCAAGUGAUCCAGCGGCCUCGGCCUCCCAAAGUGCUGGAAUGACAGGCAUGAGCCACCGCACCCAGCCAGUUAAGCACUAUUUAACACAUGAAAGUUAUAUGAUAUUCACGUUUCAAUGUUCAUACACUAGAUUUAUCAGAACUCAGCAUGCUCAUUUGUUCACACGUCUGUGCCUGCUUUUGUGCUGCACAUGCAGAAUUUACUGCUUGUGACAGAGACCUGCCAAGGUUCUCUCACCGUUUGGUCUACAGAGCCUAAAAUAGUUACUCUCUGGCCCUUUACAAAGAAAGCUUGCAGAUCCCUGAUCUAAUCAACAAACAUUAUUCAAAUCUUUCCAAUUGUCCCACUAAUGUCCUUUAUUUGGCCUGGAAUCCAACCUAAUUAUUUAACUUCUGUGGACCUUGGUUUCUCUCUUUGUGCGAUUAAAAUAGUAAUAGAUCUUUCCCAUUUAAUUUUUGUGAAAAUUUUAUGAGUUGAUCCAAUAAAUCUCUUGGAACAAUGUUUGGCCUAUAGAAUAACCACCACAUUAAGUGUUGGCAAUUGUUACUACUUCAAUCUUAGUUUUACUUUUCAUUUUUAAAAAUUCAUAUAUUUGGCCAGGCGCAGUGGCUCAUGCCUGUAAUCCAGCACUUUCAGAGACUGAGGCAGGAGGAUCACUUGAGCCCAGGAAUGUGAGACCAGCCUGGGCAACAUAGCAAGACCCCAUUUCUACAGAAAAAGCAAAAAAUAAUUAUCUGGGCAUGGUGACACAUGUCUGCAAUCCCAGCUACUCAGGAGGCUGAGGUGGGAGGAUCGCUUGAGCAUAGGAGGUUGAGGCCGCAGUGAGCCAUGAUUGCACCACUGCAUUCUAGCCUGGGCAACAGAGUGAGACCCUGCCUCAAAAAAUAAAUAAAAUAAUAUAUGUAUUUUUAAAAUUAAGCAAUACAUACAUUCAGUACAAAAGUUAAAUGGUACACAUACAAAAGAGAAUGCUGCGAAAUGUAAGUUUCCCUGCUACUCUCUCCAAAGGCUACUGCUUUGGGAAAUUUUAAAUAACUACGUAGUACUACAUGGUAUUUUUAAAAAACUUUUUAUUUUUUUUUGAGACGGAGUUUCACUCUUCUUGCCCAGUCUGGAGUGCAAUGGCAGGAUCUUAGCUCACCGCAACCUCCGCCUCCUGGGUUCAAGUGAUUCUCCUGCCUCAGCCUCCUGAGUAGCUGGGAUUAAAGGCAUGUGCCACCACACCUGGCUAAUUUUGUAUUUUUAGUAGAGUUUCUCCAUGUUGGUCAGGCUGGUCUAGAACUCCCGAUUUCUGGUAAUCUGCCCACCUCGGCCUCCCAAAGUGCUGGGAUUAUAGGCGUGAGCCACUGCACCCUGCC
rnacentral:lncRNA from 1 species